AGAGUUUGAUCAUGGCUCAGGAUGAACGCUAGCUACAGGCUUAACACAUGCAAGUCGCGGGGCAGCAUGUCGGUUGCUUGCAACCGAUGAUGGCGACCGGCGCACGGGUGAGUAACGCGUAUCCAACCUGCCCUUCACCACGGAAUAAUCCAGUGAAAAUUGGUCUAAUACCGUAUGAGGUCAUACGAUGGCAUCAGAAUAUGACGAAAGGUUUAGCGGUGAAGGAUGGGGAUGCGUCUGAUUAGCUUGUUGGUGAGGUAACGGCUCACCAAGGCGACGAUCAGUAGGGGUUCUGAGAGGAAGGUCCCCCACAUUGGAACUGAGACACGGUCCAAACUCCUACGGGAGGCAGCAGUGAGGAAUAUUGGUCAAUGGGCGAGAGCCUGAACCAGCCAAGUAGCGUGCAGGACGACGGCCCUAUGGGUUGUAAACUGCUUUUAUAUGGGGAAUAAAGUGAGUUACGUGUAAGCUUAUUGCAGGUACCAUAUAAAUAAGGACCGGGCUAAUUCCCGUGCCACCAGCCGCGGUAAUACGGAAGGUCCAGGCGUUAUCCGGAUUUAUUUGGGUUUAAAGGGAGCGUAGGCCGCCCCUUAAGCGUGUUGUAAAAUGCCGCGGCUCAACCGUGGCACUGCAGCGCGAACUGGGGGGCUUGAGUGCACGCAACGCAGGCGGAAUUCGUGGUGUAGCGGUGAAAUGCUUAGAUAUCACGAAGAACUCCGAUUGCGAAGGCAGCUUGCGGGAGUGCGACUGACGCUGAAGCUCGAAGGUGCGGGUAUCGAACAGGAUUAGAUACCCUGGUAGUCCGCACAGUAAACGAUGGAUGCCCGCUGUGUGUCUUAAAGGUACGCGGCCAAGCGAAAGCGUUAAGCAUCCCACCUGGGGAGUACGCCGGCAACGGUGAAACUCAAAGGAAUUGACGGGGGCCCGCACAAGCGGAGGAACAUGUGGUUUAAUUCGAUGAUACGCGAGGAACCUUACCCGGGCUUGAAUUGCAGAAGACGGAUCCAGAGAUGGUGACUCCCUUCGGGGCUUCUGUGAAGGUGCUGCAUGGUUGUCGUCAGCUCGUGCCGUGAGGUGUCGGCUUAAGUGCCAUAACGAGCGCAACCCCUGUCCUUAGUUGCCAUCAGGUAGAGCUGGGCACUCUGAGGAUACUGCCACCGCAAGGUGUGAGGAAGGUGGGGAUGACCGUCAAAUCAGCACGGCCCUUACGUCCGGGGCUACACACGUGUUACAAUGGGUGGUACAGAGAGUAUAGUGCCCGCAAGGUCAUUCCAAUCAAGAAAGCCAUCCCCAGUUCGGAUUGGGGUCUGCAACCCGACCCCAUGAAGCUGGAUUCGCUAGUAAUCGCGCAUCAGCCAUGGCGCGGUGAAUACGUUCCCGGGCCUUGUACACACCGCCCGUCAAGCCAUGAAAGCCCGGGGGUGCCUGAAGUCCCGUGACCCGAAGAGGGGGCGGCCUAAGGCAAAAACUUGGUAAUUGGGGC
rnacentral:rRNA from 1 species